UACGGAGGGGGCUAGCGUUGUUCGGAAUUACUGGGCGUAAAGCGCACGUAGGCGGACCGGAAAGUUGGGGGUGAAAUCCCGGGGCUCAACCUCGGAACUGCCUUCAAAACUACUGGUCUUGAGUUCGAGAGAGGUGAGUGGAAUUCCGAGUGUAGAGGUGAAAUUCGUAGAUAUUCGGAGGAACACCAGUGGCGAAGGCGGCUCACUGGCUCGAUACUGACGCUGAGGUGCGAAAGCGUGGGGAGCAAACAGGAUUAGAAACCCCCGUAGUCC
rnacentral:rRNA from 1 species